UAUGUGAUCGUCUCUCGCAUAUCAAUAAGCGGAGGAAAAGAAACUAACAAGGAUUCCCCUAGUAACGGCGAGUGAAGCGGGAAGAGCUCAAAUUUGAAAUCUUAAAGGGUUUCCCUUUACGAAUUGUAGUUUAAAGAAGUGUUUUCUGUUGAGGUUUUGGUAAAAGUUCUUUGGAAUAGGACAUCAUAGAGGGUGAGAAUCCCGUAUUUGACCUUUACUUUCAACUUUGUGAUACACUUUCAAAGAGUCGGAUUGUUUGGGAAUGCAGUCCAAAAUGGGUGGUAAAUUUCAUCUAAAGCUAAAUAUUGGCGAGAGACCGAUAGCGAACAAGUACCGUGAGGGAAAGAUGAAAAGAGCUUUGAAAAGAGAGUUAAACAGUACGUGAAAUUGUCAAAAGGGAAGCGUUUGACACCAGUGUUGUUUUUCUGAAAAUCAAUUAAAGAACUGUUUAUGCUAAGUUGUUUAGACUUUAUCAGCUAACUGUUUAGUUUUGAGCUUUUCUUUAAUGCACUUUUCAGUUAACAAGUCAACAUCAAUUUCUUUUGCUGUAAAAAAGCUUGAGGAAGGUGGCUUGAGAUUCGUCUUAAGUGUUUAUAGCCUCUUGCCUAUGCAGUCGGAGAGAUUGAGGUCUGCAGCGUAGAUCCUUCGGGGCUAAAUGCAUUUGUGCUAAGUUAUAACAUUUUAUAGACAACUUGUUGACUAUGAUUUGUCUUGUAGCUUACUCGCUUAUGUUAUUUUACCUACGCUUAGGAUGUUGAAUCUGUGCGAGACUAC
rnacentral:rRNA from 1 species